rnacentral:rRNA from 1 species
UACGGGGGGAGCAAGCGUUGUUCGGAUUUACUGGGCGUAAAGGGCGCGUAGGCGGUCAGUGCAAGUCAGUUGUGAAAUCUCCGAGCUUAACUCGGAACGGUCAACUGAUACUGCUCGACUAGAGUGCGGAAGGGGCAACUGGAAUUCUUGGUGUAGCGGUGAAAUGCGCAGAUAUCAAGAGGAACACCUGCGGCGAAGGCGGGUUGCUGGGCCGACACUGACGCUGAGGCGCGAAAGCUAGGGGAGCGAACGGG